rnacentral:rRNA from 1 species
GAGUGGACUCCUACGGGAGGCAGCAGUGGGGAAUAUUGCACAAUGGGCGCAAGCCUGAUGCAGCGACGCCGCGUGAGGGAUGGAGGCCUUCGGGUUGUGAACCUCUUUCGCCAGUGAAGAAGGUCCUGCUCUUUGUGGUGGGGUUGACGGUAGCUGGGUUAAUGAAGCGCCGGCUAACUACGUGCCAGCAGCCGCGGUAAUACGUAGGGCGCGAGCGUUGUCCGGAAUUAUUGGGCGUAAAGGGCUUGUAGGCGGCUGGUCGCGUCUGCCGUGAAAUCCUCUGGCUCAGCUGGGGGCGUGCGGUGGGUACGGGCUGGCUUGAGUGCGGUAGGGGAGACUGGAACUCCUGGUGUAGCGGUGGAAUGCGCAGAUAUCAGGAGGAACACCGGUGGCGAAGGCGGGUCUCUGGGCCGUUACUGACGCUGAGGAGCGAAAGCGUGGGGAGCGAACAGGAUUAGAUACCCUUGUAGUCCU